GGAGCGGCCGCGGGGCAGGGACGGGCCCGCCGGUACGGCAGCGGCGUCGCAGCCGCUGGUUCAUCCUGAGGGCCCGAGAGGCGGGUACAAGGCUGGUGGGAGAGCGGCUGGAAAGCUGCUCGGCGGAAAAGGACCUGGGGGUGCAGAUUGAUAGAGCUGAGCAUGAGCCAGCUUGUGCCCAGGCAGCCAAGGCGGCCAACAGCAUCCUGGCCUGUAUCAGAACUAGUGUGGCCAGCAGGGCCAGGGCAGUGAUUUUCCCUUUGUACUCAGUACUGGUGAGGCCGCACCUCGAAUCCUGUGUUCAGCUCUGGGCCCCUCACUGCAAGAGAGACGUUGAGGUGCUGGAGCAGGUCCAGAAAAGGCAACGAAGCUGGUGAAGGGUCUGGAGCACAAGUCUGAUGAGGAACGGCUGAGGGAACUGAGCUUUUUAUUCUGGAGAAGUGAUAAGGGGGACCUUGUCACUCUCUGCAACUACCUGAAAGGAGGAUGGAGAGAGGUGGGGGUCUGUCUCUUCUCCCAGGUAACAAGUGACAGGACAAGAGGACUCCUUCGCAUUGAGAAGAGAGAAAUAAUAAACCUACCAGAUGUCAGUCCUUCUAACUUAGACAGUUCCUAGCACAACACUGCCUCUCGCUGCUAAACCUAGUCUUAGAUGGAAGCAGAACCAUUCCUAGCCACCUGUAGCAGCUCCCUGGUGCCAAAAGAGACUGGCCAUCCUGACAGCUGCAAUGCCCAUUCCCAGACACUCAGCAGAAUGAGACCAGCCCUCUCAACAGUAGCUGCUUACUAGCUUGGACCUAGCAAACAUGCAACCUUGCAAACACUGACAUCUAUAGGAAGAAUACCUGUCUGACCUACCAUCCUGGUUUGGGCUGAGAUAGAGUUAAUUUUCUCCCCAUCCCACUGGGCAACUCUGUGGUGUUUAGAUAUCUGCCGGAUUAAAUCAUGACACCUACAGACUGUCUUUCAUUUGGUGCAGUGUAUCCAAAUGAAAGUUUGGUUUAUUUCUUUUUUCAUACACAUGCACAAAAUAAGAUCCCAUCACUAAACAUGAUGUGGGGCUCAAAUUUAGAAGUUGCUCAAAUUUUAAGCUAUGAUAAAAAAACACUUAUAACAAUGUCAUGAAAUUCUUCAGUUUGAAUAAAAGUGGAGUGAUACCACGUUUCACAUAUUCCUAGCUUUCACAUGCCUUGGAAUUUUGAAUUGACUAGGUUUUAAUGCUUUUGAUUAAAAUAAAACAGUACUCUGUCAGCUGUCAUACGAACAGUGGCAUGUUUGUCAUCCAGGUGAUGCCAUGAUUUGAGCUGGUACGCAGUGAUACAGAUAAUUUACCAAACUGAAGUUGUUGCCAUUGCUCCAUUGUGGGACAGUGCAGGUCAAACAAAAGCCUUUUUCAUGAAUGUUACUUCAAUCCUGACUUUCAUCUCUGGCCGUAACAAGAAUGCAUCUGUUUCCUGAAGUACAGCAUAACAAGCAUGUUUAAAUACUGAAAGAGAAAAAAAAGAGGGGGAUAUCAGGGAAUGUACUUUGCUUUGGAAAAGAAAAACAAUCCAGCAAGACUUGGGACUGCCUCUGCUAAAUGGCAUUAUCAGACCAGAUGACU
rnacentral:lncRNA from 1 species